ACAAAUAUUGGAACUUAAUUUACUUAAAUAACUGUACUAUUUGUGUGAUAGGUUAAACUAAAGCAAACCGAUUUAAAUGAUGUAUAUUAUUAUUUUAUAUUCUUUACUCAGUAUUUAUACAUAUAUACUAUACAGGCUUGAAUUAAAGAGGACCAGAGAGGGCCAUAUUCCUGAGGGCCACGAGAAAUGUUCUCCAUAAAGACUUUAUUAUGAGUUUAAUCAAAUAUUUGAGAACCUUUUUUUUUUUUUAUUGCUUAUUUUUACUAAUAUGAGCCCCCUUGGUCCUUACAACCUUUAAUCCAGGUCUGAUACUAUAAACACUACCUAUUUGUUCUCAUGUGAUACACCUAUUGAUUUUUGUUUAUUAUUGUAUU